AGUGAGCGCUGGCGGUAGGCCUAACACAUGCAAGUCGAACGGCAGCACAGUAAGAGCUUGCUCUUACGGGUGGCGAGUGGCGGACGGGUGAGGAAUACAUCGGAAUCUACUUUUUCGUGGGGGAUAACGUAGGGAAACUUACGCUAAUACCGCAUACGAUCUACGGGUGAAAGCAGGGGAUCUUCGGACCUUGCGCGAUUGAAUGAGCCGAUGUCGGAUUAGCUAGUUGGCGGGGUAAAGGCCCACCAAGGCGACGAUCCGUAGCUGGUCUGAGAGGAUGAUCAGCCACACUGGAACUGAGACACGGUCCAGACUCCUACGGGAGGCAGCAGUGGGGAAUAUUGGACAAUGGGCGCAAGCCUGAUCCAGCCAUACCGCGUGGGUGAAGAAGGCCUUCGGGUUGUAAAGCCCUUUUGUUGGGAAAGAAAAGCAGCAGGUUAAUACCCCGCUGUUCUGACGGUACCCAAAGAAUAAGCACCGGCUAACUUCGUG
rnacentral:rRNA from 1 species